rnacentral:tRNA from 1 species
GCUGGCAUAGCUCAGCUGGUAGAGCAACUGACUUGUAAUCAGUAGGUCGUGGGUUCGAAGCCUACUGCCAGCA